AUUGAACGCUGGCGGCAGGCCUAACACAUGCAAGUCGAGCGGAUGAAGGGAGCUUGCUCCUGGAUUCAGCGGCGGACGGGUGAGUAAUGCCUAGGAAUCUGCCUGGUAGUGGGGGAUAACGUCCGGAAACGGGCGCUAAUACCGCAUACGUCCUGAGGGAGAAAGUGGGAGAUCUUCGGACCUCACGCUAUCAGAUGAGCCUAGGUCGGAUUAGCUAGUUGGUGGGGUAAAGGCCUACCAAGGCGACGAUCCGUAACUGGUCUGAGAGGAUGAUCAGUCACACUGGAACUGAGACACGGUCCAGACUCCUACGGGAGGCAGAAGGGGGGAAUAUGGGACAAUGGGCGAAAGCCUGAUCCAGCCAUGCCGCGUGUGUGAAGAAGGUCUUCGGAUUGUAAAGCACUUUAAGUUGGGAGGAAGGGAAGUAAGUUAAUACCUUGCUGUUUUGACGUUACCAAAAGAAUAAGCACCGGCUAACUUCGUG
rnacentral:rRNA from 1 species